rnacentral:rRNA from 1 species
CUGGUUGAUCCUGCCAGUAGUCAUAUGCUUGUCUCAAAGAUUAAGCCAUGCAAGUCUCAGUACAAGCCACAUUAAGGUGAAACCGCAAAAGGCUCAUUAAAUCAGUUAUGGUUCCUUGGAUCGUACAAUCCAUUACUUGGAUAACUGUGGUAAUUCUAGAGCUAAUACAUGCAAACAGAAUCCCGACCAGAGAUGGGAGGGACGCUUUUAUUAGAUCAAAACCAAUCGGGGCUCCGGCCUCGCACUACUUGGUGACUCUGAAUAACUUACAGCUGAUCGCACGGUCCUAGUACCGGCGACGCAUCUUUCAAAUGUCUGACUUAUCAACUGUCGAUGGUAGAUUCUGCGCCUACCAUGGUUGUAACGGGUAACGGGGAAUCAGGGUUCGAUUCCGGAGAGGGAGCCUGAGAAACGGCUACCACAUCCAAGGAAGGCAGCAGGCGCGCAAAUUACCCACUCCCGGCACGGGGAGGUAGUGACGAAAAAUAACGAUACGGGACUCAUCCGAGGCCCCGUAAUCGGAAUGAGUACACUUUAAAUCCUUUAACGAGUACCAAUUGGAGGGCAAGUCUGGUGCCAGCAGCCGCGG